GAUGAACGCUAGCGGCAGGCUUAACACAUGCAAGUCGAGGGGCAGCAUGAUUUAACUUUCGGGUUAGAUUGAUGGCGACCGGCGCAAGGGUGCGUAACGCGUGAGCAACUUGCCCUUAUCAGGGGGAUAACCGUUGGAAACGACGACUAAUACCCCAUAGUAUCACUUUAAGGCAUCUUUUAGUGAUUAAAGAACUUCGGAUAAGGAUAGGCUCGCGUGACAUUAGCUAGAUGGCGGGGUAACGGCCCACCAUGGCGACGAUGUCUAGGGGUUCUGAGAGGAAGGUCCCCCACACUGGAACUGAGACACGGUCCAGACUCCUACGGGAGGCAGCAGUGAGGAAUAUUGGGCAAUGGGGGAAACCCUGACCCAGCAACGCCGCGUGAAGGAAGAAGGCCUUCGGGUUGUAAACUUCUUUUAGCAGGGACGAAGAACGUGACGGUACCUGCAGAAAAAGCAACGGCUAACUACGUG
rnacentral:rRNA from 1 species